rnacentral:lncRNA from 1 species
AUGACUUAAAAGGUAAGUACUCUUUUAUUUUAAUAAGUGACACUGAAGCUGGAAGAACAAAGGACUCUGUAGGAUCACACAGCCAGGGACAGGCCAGUAGCUUAAGUUUUUCUUAACCCUUUGACAUCUGCUGUACUAGUCAGUAGUGAGUCCUGGCAUCCAUUAUAGCAGUAUGGAAACACUGGCAGACACUUGGCUUAUUUAUCACCUUUUGGUACAACAAUAAGCUACGCCGUGUGCAAAGACUGUCGAUGAGGAAUGUGUAUCUGAUUAUGUAUAGAUUACGAGCAAUGCUGGGAUUAAAGGCGUGUGCCACACGCCCGCCACUCCAUCUUUUUAUUCACAGAUUUCUCCUCAGCCCAGUCUUUCUCCAGAACCUGCCCGUUCCGCAUGGUGUUCUUUGAUCCUCUCACAGUCCUGAUGCUCUCAACAAUUCCCAAAUCCCCUUACCAACCAGGAACACCUGCUCCAAGCUGGUGUGACAUUCACAUUCAGACCCUUACAUGGAAGGCUACCCUCUCUAGUAUCUGGCCAGCUGCAAACUGUUGGGGAAUCAAGAGGAUCUCUCUCUCCCUUCCUCUCCCCAAAAGUUUUUGGUACACCAUUCCCAACCUUUUUUCACAACUUCAUUUGCUCUUGAAGAGACAUCACAAUCCCUGACUGCCUAACAAUCUGGUCUCAACCCCUCCCACACCCCUGUAACUCACCUUGACAUUUCCUGCUGUUGUUUGCUUCUGAUGGCUUCUCACAUUUAUAGUCCGUGUGAGCCUCAGAAAGGCAAGUUUUGUGCAGUUCCAAGCUUCUCCUACUUGAACAAAUCGGGAGCAGGUGCUUUUUUGUUUUGUUUUGUUUUUCUAUAAAAGCAGGACAGAGAGAUUUCUCAUUAUUCCAGGGAAACAUCUCCUCACUAGUACAAGAGUACAUUUGCAAACCAGCCUUUCAAAGAGCUAUUUCAAAAGCAAUAAGCAAGUGGUUCCAUGGUGAGGAUUACAAACACACCCUCAGGGUCAGUCAAGGGUGAGGAGGACAGUUCUAAUAUGGCAAGACACAUUGGGCCAGACUCCAUGAGAGAGUGUCAGACAUCUUUAAAGUGCUGUAUCACAAACAACUUAGAUGCAAGCAAAGGAGAGCUACUUAAACUAGGUGUACAUAUCAUGAAGGUGUUGAUUCACAAGAUGCUUGUGGAGAAUUUGAAGCUAAUUGUUAAUGUGAGAAUGGGGAAAAGCAAUAUUUUGUAUUAUUGUAAUAUAUAUUGUUAUUUUAAAAUAAGCAUGUAUAAUUAAAUAAAUUAGAUAUUAUAAAUAGA